AAAGCUCGUAGUUGGAUUUCUGGUCGAGGCAGCCGGUCGGCAUCAAGUAUGUUUGUACAUGGCGCUUCGUCCAUUUUUGUAGAAGCUGCGUCUGUCAUUCACUUGUCGGGCGUAGGGUCUGCAUCAUUUACUGUGAGCAAAAUAGAGUGUUCAAAGCAGGCUUAGGCCAUGAAUACAUUAGCAUGGAAUAAUAAGAUAAGACCUUGGUCUAUUUUGUUGGUUAGCAUUCCGGGGUAAUGAUUAAUAGGGAUA
rnacentral:rRNA from 14 species